rnacentral:misc_RNA from 1 species
GAUGAAGAACGUAGCGAAAUGCGAUAAUUAAUGUGAAUUACAGAAUUCCGUGAAUCAUCGAGUCUUUGAACGCACAUUGCGCCUCAUGGCAUUCCGUGAGGCAUGCCCAUCUCAGCGUUAGAAAAUAUUCUCAAAUUUUAGUUUUGUGCUAAAAUUUGGAUCAUGUCAAGGAAGCUAUUACUAUUAUUGUGAUCGCUCUUUGGAAAUUGAUAGGUCUUUGAGUUGCUACUCAUAGAACGUGAUGAAUCUUUCUUCGUUCUAUUGUCAUUCACUCUGGUAGUCCUAAAACUUGUAUGCCUGUGGCAUAUCUUGUAAUUUGACCUGAGAUUGGGUAGGGAUACCCGCUGAACUUAAGCAUAUCAAUAAGCGGAGGA